GUGUUAACAGAUCAAACGAAAAUAUUGCAAAAAUCCAAAUUAAAAGUCGCGUUGCAAUGGUGUUAAUUAUGAUGAAUAAAUAAUAAAUCAUACACACACAUACAUGUACACACACACCAGUGCAGUUCUCAGGCAGUAAAAUUUGGCACAGCCAUGCAAAUUCCUUGCUGCACACAAAAAAAAACACAAAAGACUUAGGCAACGAACUUGCGUGUAGCUAUGCAACUACGAGUAUGCGCCUAUAGGCAGCCAGGCCACAGCCCAAAAAACAAAAACAAAAACACUCGGCUGCUGUCAGAGCCGUGUUAAAUUUAUGCAAAUAAAUAAAUCAAAGCCAAAGCCUCCGAGCCUGAGCAGGAGGCGUUCUUGUCGUUGUCGUCGUUGCACGCACUAAAAAAAAAAAAAAAAAAGAAACUAAUCAAAUCACAUUUGAAGUAAACGCCUCAAACAGUUAAGCGAACUGCAGUUUUUAAGGCCGCAUAAAUCAAAUGGUAGGGAAAAGCUAGCAGCAUAAUUGAAUAUGAAAUAUGAAAAAAUAUUUAAAAAUAAAAAAUAAACAUAACUCAAGCUCAUAUCAUGUGCAUAAUAACACAAAAUUAAACGCGCUUUUAAUGGCAACAACAUUGAAAUGAGUUUGUGUCUAAGACUAUACAGAUGCA